AUUGCUUCUUGGUCUUUUGGCUAAGACCAAGAAUAGUAUCUGUUCUUACUAAUUACUAUCUAAUACAUCCUCUAUUCAAGACAAUACAUUAAAUGGAUUUUUGGUGCAGGAAGGUAGAAUAAGAGCUUGCUGUCCACUCCAUACAUUAUCCCAAAAUUGCAGUACCCCCAGGUAAAUUGUACCCUUU
ensembl:snRNA U2 U2 spliceosomal RNA